rnacentral:tRNA from 2 species
CGCGGGGUAGAGCAGUUGGUAGCUCGUCGGGCUCAUAACCCGGAGGUCAGAGGUUCGAGUCCUCUCCCCGCUA